rnacentral:rRNA from 1 species
CGGCGGACGGGUGAGUAACGCGUGGGUAACCUGCCUCAUACAGGGGGAUAACGGUUAGAAAUGACUGCUAAUACCGCAUAAGCGCACAGUACCACAUGGUACGGUGUGAAAAACUCCGGUGGUAUGAGAUGGACCCGCGUCUGAUUAGCUAGUUGGUGGGGUAACGGCCCACCAAGGCGACGAUCAGUAGCCGACCUGAGAGGGUGACCGGCCACAUUGGGACUGAGACACGGCCCAG